GACGAACGCUGGCGGCGUGCUUAACACAUGCAAGUCGAGCGGUAAGGCCCUUUCGGGGGUACACGAGCGGCGAACGGGUGAGUAACACGUGGGUGACCUGCCCUUAGCUCUGGGAUAAGCCUGGGAAACUGGGUCUAAUACCGGAUAUGACUCCAUGACGCAUGUUGUGGGGUGGAAAGCCUUGUGCGGCUAGGGAUGGGCCCGCGGCCUAUCAGCUUGUUGGUGGGGUGAUGGCCACCAAGGCGACGACGGGUAGCCGGCCUGAGAGGGCGACCGGCCACACUGGGACUGAGACACGGCCCAGACUCCUACGGGAGGCAGCAGUGGGGAAUCUUGCGCAAUGGGCGAAAGCCUGACGCAGCGACGCCGCGUGGGGAUGACGG
rnacentral:rRNA from 1 species